rnacentral:rRNA from 1 species
CCUACGGGUGGCUGCAGUAGGGAAUAUUGCUCAAUGGGGGAAACCCUGAUGCAGCAACGCCGCGUGGAUGAAGAAGGUUUUCGGAUUGUAAACCCCUUUUAUCAGAGAAGAAAAUGACGGUAUCUAACGAAUAAGCACCGGCUAACUCCGUGCCAGCAGCCGCGGUAAUACGUAGGGUGCAAGCGUUAUCCGGAUUCACUGGGCGUAAAGAGCGCGUAGGCGGGAUAGCAAGUCAGAUGUGAAAGCCUAUGGCUUAACCAUAGAACUGCAGUUGAAACUGUGAUGCUAGAGUAUGGGAGAGGUAAGUGGAAUUCUUGGUGUAGCGGUGAAAUGCGUAGAGAUUAAGAGGAACACUCAUGGCGAAGGCGACCUGCUAGAACAUAACUGACGCUGAUGCGCGAAAGCGUGGGGAGCAAACAGGAUUAGAUACCCGUGUAGUC